rnacentral:tRNA from 1 species
GUCCGUGUGGCUCAAUGGUAGUGACUCAGUAAUACGAGAAGAUUGCAGGUUCAAAUCCUGCCCACGGACG